rnacentral:rRNA from 1 species
UACGAAGGGGGCUAGCGUUGCUCGGAAUCACUGGGCGUAAAGGGUGCGUAGGCGGGUCUUUAAGUCAGGGGUGAAAUCCUGGAGCUCAACUCCAGAACUGCCUUUGAUACUGAAGAUCUUGAGUUCGGGAGAGGUGAGUGGAACUGCGAGUGUAGAGGUGAAAUUCGUAGAUAUUCGCAAGAACACCAGUGGCGAAGGCGGCUCACUGGCCCGAUACUGACGCUGAUGAGCGGAAAGCUAGGGGAGCAAACAGGG